ACAGCAGUCGCCACGGUAAUACGAAGGGGGCUAGCGUUGCUCGGAAUGACUGGGCGUAAAGGGCGCGUAGGCGGCGGCCAAAGUCAGGCGUGAAAUUCCCGGGCUCAACCUGGGGGCUGCGUUUGAUACUUGGUUGCUUGAGUGGGGAAGAGGGUCGUGGAAUUCCCAGUGUAGAGGUGAAAUUCGUAGAUAUUGGGAAGAACACCGGUGGCGAAGGCGGCGACCUGGUCCUUUACUGACGCUGAGGCGCGAAAGCGUGGGGAGCAAACAGGAUUAGAUACCCCAGUAGUCCCUGUCUCUUAUAC
rnacentral:rRNA from 1 species